rnacentral:rRNA from 2 species
CUGCAACUCGACUCCAUGAAGUCGGAAUCGCUAGUAAUCGUGGAUCAGAAUGCCACGGUGAAUACGUUCCCGGGCCUUGUACACACCGCCCGUCACACCAUGGGAGUGGGUUGCAAAAGAAGUAGGUAGCUUAACCUUCGGGAGGGCGCUUACCACUUUGUGAUUCAUGACUGGGGUGAAGUCGUAACAAGGUAACCGUAGGGGAACCUGCGGUUGGAUCACCUCCUUA